CCCCCCAGCCCGCAGUGCUCUUACCUCCACACCUGCCCCAUCUGCAGCAGGUGGAUGACCGACUGCCAGAUCCACACGGAGAGGCGGCACAGACGCUGCGCCCCCGGGGUGGCCGAGCCCCCCGCACCCGGGCCGCCGCGGGCCGCGCCGUGGCCGUAGCCGGCCCCCAUCAUCGGGGGUCCCCGGCUGCUGAGCCCCUCCACGGCGCCUAGCCCGCCGCCCGUGUAGUCCUGCACGAACCAGCGGAAGCUCAGGCUCUGCACCAGCAGCGACGGCACCAGCACGAAGAACAGGGUCAGCCCGAAGCAGCCGUAGUCCCCCUUGCGGUAGUAGUCGAGGGCCAGCCACAGCCAUAAGGAAGCCAUCAUCUUGGUUGCUUCUUACCCUUUGGGCCAAGAUCAAGUGAAGGAACCAGUUCCUCUGAUUCUUUGAAUAAGUGGAUUCUCAGCCCCUCAGUCAUGCUAAGAAGACCCUGAAAAAUCUUUGCUGAACAAGACAUGAAGCACCAUGGUUGACUUUGACACCUGUUGCCUGUCUCUCCAGAGGUACCCAGGUACUAUUUCGUCGCAGCAAUGAAAAGGGUACUGCAUACGGUUGGCAAUGUCAACAACUGAGCAUCAUCUAAGACUUUACUCUCCUGGGAAGAUGAAAAACUUGAGCUGCUCACUUUUAUGGAUGGUGGCAGAAGACACAGACUCCUGGUCGAGAGACAAAGGACCGAAUUAAAAUCACAGCUUAUCUUGGUAGCAAGAUGUCAGAAACCAGGCUUGUCUCACAGUCCCAGAUUCUACAGGGUGAUGUGAUAGGGGCCAGUUGUUUCCUGAGAGGCAGUGGGUGGCAGGAGAAAGAGGUAGAGCAAUCCCUCCGAGGAUAACUAGUCAAAGGCAUUUUGACUUAAAUAUCUCUGGUCUUAAACAAGGACAGAACUGCCAACAGGGCCAGAGACAUUUCCAGCUUUUAGCUAAGAAAACAACAACAACAAAAACAACCAAACAAAAAGCAAAACAAAUAGAUAAACAACCCCCCCCCCCAGUUUGUUUCCUGUCCUGUUUCUAUCUCCUGUUCUCAAUCCCAAGGUCCAUAUGUGUCUCCAGUGAAAAAGCACCUCUCCUUGAGAAGAUGGCUGAGUAUUAAGUAUAUGGUUCAUGUGCUCCAGGCAAUUGCUUUGUGAUGCAGAAGCAGAUGUUUGGUUUGUCUGCCUUGUACCCAUCACAGUGGAACCUACUCAGUAGAUGCUUGAUGACUGUCCAAAGAGUAACUUGCUUUUAAACCCCAGAGCUACCCCACUGACCUAGCCUUGAAUUAACUGAGAAAGAAAAGAGAUGGAUGGUGGGGUAGGCCUUGAUCUGUUUUCAACAUUUUUCUGAAGUUAAGCCUUCAUGUUAAUGUGAGGGGUUGUAUUAUUUUUGGGGGGAGGAAUGUUGAUUAUUAAAUCCUGAGCCUUAGAUACUCGGUUUGUGAUCUACCACUGACAAGGCCCCCAUCC